CCGAUUCGAUUCAAAAACACUCGUAGCUCAACAGCCUCGACUAUGACCAACGUUUAACCCCCAUUGGCGGGGUCCACAGAAUACCAGCGCACAACCCCCACUGGCAGGGUCCACAAAUACCAGCGCACAACCCCCACUGGCAGGGUCCACUGAGUACCAACGUAUAAUCCCCAUUGGCGGAGUCCACUGAAACAUAGUUAGGCUGAGAGCAUAAAUUCGAUCUGUAUCAAAACACUUUGUAUCAUAAUAUAUCAUAAUUUUUCACUGAAC
rnacentral:lncRNA from 1 species